rnacentral:rRNA from 1 species
AUUGAACGCUGGCGGCAGGACUAACACAUGCAAGUCGAACGAGCGGCGGACGGGUGAGUAAUGUAUCGGGAUCUGCCCGAUAGAGGGGGUUAACUACUGGAAACGGAGCUAAUACCGCAUACUAUCGGAUGAACCCCUAUGGGCUUAGCUGUUAGGUGCGGUAAUGGCUCACCGAGGAGACGAUCCCUAGCUGGUCUGAGAGGACGACCCGCCACACUGGGACUGAGACACGGCCCAGACUCCUACGGGAGGCAGCAGUGGGGAAUUUUGGACAAUGGGGGAAACCCUGAUCCAGCCAUCCCGCGUGUAUGAUGAAGGCCUUCGGGUUGUAAAGUACUUUUGGCAGGGAAGCGGUAUCUGCAGAAUAAGCACCGGCUAACUACGUGCCAGCAGCCGCGGUAAUUC